AUGUGUUCAUGGAAUAUUGGUUUUGGAAAUGUUGAAAUAGAUUAUUGAGCACCAUUGCAUAGUGAGAGGUGUUUGCUUUUUUUUCCCCUAGUAACUGGGGUACAUGAAUGCCAUUAAGAGGUCUUUGAAGCCCUUGAAAUUGAUGUAAGUUCUAUGUGUCUAUGCAUAGGUAUGUAUUUCUGAGGACAAGAUCCAAGGAGUUUUCCUGAUUCUCAAAUUUCUCCAUAUGAAUUUUUAUGAUUGACUGAAACAUCAGAGACAAAAAGAGUCCAAGACGUGGAAACAGUCCAAAUGUCCAUCAACUGAUGAGAAAAUAGCAUGUGGUAUAGCCACACGAUGGAAUCAUACUCAGAUAUACAGAGGAAGGAGUCUUGACGGAUACAGUUGACACCAUGGAUGAGCCUGGAGAACAGUUUGCUGAGCAGCAGAAACCAGACACAAAGGGGGACGUUAUACUAUUCAUUUAUGUGAAAUGUCCAGAUAGGAGAAGACAUAGAGACAGAAAAUAGCUUUGUGGCUGCAGGGUGCUGGUGGUAAGGAAGAAAGGGAAGUAAUUGUGGGGCUCAGGGCUUGAUUUAGGUUGCUGAAAAUAUUCUGGAAUUAGAUAGUGAUGAUAACUGCACAGUACUGUGAAUGUCCUAAAAAAAUACUAAAAUCUUAAAGAUGACAUUUUAAAAGUGAGUUUCACGGCAUGUGGAUUAUAUCUCAGCAAAAGUUUUUUUAAAUGAUAAAACUGAAAAUCAGUUCUGCACAUGAGUGUAUAUAAAAACUUUAUGUAUAAUCAAUAAAAACUGAAAGCAAA